UCCCCAGAGGCUCAGUGAUAAAGAAUCUGCCUGCAAUGUAGGAGACCUGGGUUCAAUCCCUGGCUCGGGAA
rnacentral:tRNA from 1 species